GAGGGUAGACCUCAGUGGUAGAGCACAUGCUUAGCAUGCACGAGGUCCCGGGUUCAAUCCCCAGUACCUCUG
rnacentral:tRNA from 1 species